ensembl:lncRNA
GCUCCCUCUGCAGAAUGUACUUCAGGGAGCUCCUGAACCCUCUGCUGACCGACCAACUGUAUGAGAAGUUCUCACAAAGCGAGUCUGCCUGUGUCAGAGGAAGAGCUGCCUUCAUGGAGGCACAGAUGUGGAAUUCAUCUUGAACCACACAGAUGUCCUCUUCAGCUCCAAAUCCAGCUCAGUCAUCGGAGAUGGAGCAGUCUCUAUAGGUUAAUCAGCAGGGCUGUUCAGCUGCAUGGCAAAGACUGCGUGGGCCCUGCAGCUGUUGCCCAGUUCUCUGCCUGCAUUGCUGAUUCGUGGCUUUAGAAUAUAGAA